rnacentral:rRNA from 1 species
AGAUUGAACGCUGGCGGCAUGCCUUACACAUGCAAGUCGAACGGCAGCACGGGAGCAAUCCUGGUGGCGAGUGGCGAACGGGUGAGUAAUAUAUCGGAACGUGCCCAGUAAUGGGGGAUAGCCCGGCGAAAGCCGGAUUAAUACCGCAUACGACCUAUGGGUGAAAGCGGGGGAUCGCAAGACCUCGCGUUAUUGGAGCGGCCGAUAUCAGAUUAGCUUGUUGGCGGGUAAAAGCCCACCAAGGCAACGAUCUGUAGCUGGUCUGAGAGGACGACCAGCCACACUGGGACUGAGACACGGCCCAGACUCCUACGGGAGCAGCAGUGGGAAUUUGGACAAUGGGCGCAAGCCUGAUCCAGCCAUGCCGCGU